rnacentral:rRNA from 1 species
UACGUAGGGAGCAAGCGUUGUUCGGAUUUACUGGGCGUAAAGGGCGCGUAGGCGGCGCGGUAAGUCGCUUGUGAAAUCUCUGAGCUUAACUCAGAACGGCCAAGUGAUACUGCAGUGCUAGAGUGCAGAAGGGGCAAUCGGAAUUCUUGGUGUAGCGGUGAAAUGCGUAGAUAUCAAGAGGAACACCUGAGGUGAAGACGGGUUGCUGGGCUGACACUGACGCUGAGGCGCGAAAGCCAGGGGAGCAAACGGG